AAGUCGUAACAAGGUUUCCGUAGGUGAACCUGCGGAAGGAUCAUUAACAAAUAUCCAUUUUAUGGGUGUUAAAUCCAUAUCAACCCCUUGUGAAUUGUUAUCGUUUCGGCAGUUAUUUUUUAUUGAAGAUAUUUAUUUUGAGGGAGAAUAAAUAGAAAACUUCCUCAAAUUUUUAUAUUUCAUUAAAGAAGCUGCCAAUAGGUUACUUUUGUAAUCUAAUUUUUUAUAAAAACUCUGCUGAUAAUCUCUUAGUCUAAUUUAUAUUUUUUAUUGAAUAAUAAAAAAAUACAACUUUUGACAACGGAUCUCUUGGUUCUC
rnacentral:misc_RNA from 1 species